rnacentral:rRNA from 1 species
GACGAACGCUGGCGGCGUGCUUAACACAUGCAAGUCGAACGGAAAGGCCCUGCUUUUGUGGGGUGCUCGAGUGGCGAACGGGUGAGUAACACGUGAGUAACCUGCCCUUGACUUUGGGAUAACUUCAGGAAACUAGGGCUACUACCGGAUAGGAGCUCCUGCUGCAUGGUGGGGGUUGGAAAGUUUCGGCGGUUGGGGAUGGACUCGCGGCUUAUCAGCUUGUUGGUGGGGUAGUGGCUUACCAAGGCUUUGACGGGUAGCCGGCCUGAGAGGGUGACCGGCCACAUUGGGGCUGAGGUACGGCCCAGACUCCUACGGGAGGCAGCAGUGGGGAAUAUUGCACAAUGGGCGGAAGCCUGAUGCAGCAACGCCGCGUGCGGGAUGACGGCCUUCGGGUUGUAAACCGCUUUCGCCUGUGACGAAGCGUGAGUGACGGUAAUGGGUAAAGAAGCACCGGCUAACUACGUG